UCGGGUAUGGUGUAAGGGGCAACAUGGUUGAAUGUUGCGUGUGCGCGCAUUCAAAGGCUCGAGGUUCGAUUCCUCGUACCCGGU